rnacentral:tRNA from 1 species
GGGGAAGUUCCAGAGCGGUUAAAUGGAACAGACUGUAAAUCUGUCGGCUUCGGCCUUCGGUGGUUCAAAUCCACCCUUCCCCA